AUUGAACGCUGGCGGCAUGCCUUACACAUGCAAGUCGAACGGCAGCACGGGAGCAAUCCUGGUGGCGAGUGGCGAACGGGUGAGUAAUGUAUCGGAACGUACCUUUCAGUGGGGGAUAACGUAGCGAAAGUUACGCUAAUACCGCAUAUUCUGUGAGCAGGAAAGCAGGGGAUCGCAAGACCUUGCGCUGAUUGAGCGGCCGAUAUCAGAUUAGCUAGUUGGUGAGGUAAAGGCUCACCAAGGCGACGAUCUGUAGCGGGUCUGAGAGGAUGAUCCGCCACACUGGAACUGAGACACGGUCCAGACUCCUACGGGAGGCAGCAGUGGGGAAUUUUGGACAAUGGGCGAAAGCCUGACGCAGCAACGCCGCGUGCGGGAAGAAGGCCCUCGGGUUGUAAACCGCUUUCAGUAGGAACGAAAAUGACGGUACCUGCAGAAGAAGGUGCGGCCAACUACGUGCCAGCAGCCGCGGU
rnacentral:rRNA from 1 species